AGGAACGCUGGCGGCGUGCCUAACACAUGCAAGUCGAACGAAGCAUAGCAAUAUGCUUAGUGGCGGACGGGUGAGUAACGCGUGAACAAUCUGCCCUGUACAAAGGAAUAGCCUCGGGAAACCGGGAUUAAAACCGUAUGACACUUUAGUAUCGCAUGAUAAGAAAGUCAAAUCGAAUAGAGGUAUGGGAUGAGUUCGCGUCUGAUUAGCUGGUUGGCGGGGUAACGGCCCACCAAGGCGACGAUCAGUAGCCGGCCUGAGAGGGUGAACGGCCACACUGGAACUGAGACACGGUCCAGACUCCUACGGGAGGCAGCAGUGGGGAAUAUUGCACAAUGGAGGGAACUCUGAUGCAGCGACGCCGCGUGAGUGAAGAAGGUCUUCGGAUCGUAAAACUCUGUCCUUGGUGAAGAAAAGGACGGUAGCCAAGGAGGAAGCCCCGGCUAAAUACGUG
rnacentral:rRNA from 1 species